GACGAACGCUGGCGGCGUGCCUAACACAUGCAAGUCGAACGGGGGAACAUGAAGUAUUUCGGUACGGAAUGCGCCCCUAGUGGCGAACGGGUGAGUAACACGUGGGCAACCUGCCCCAGACUGGGGGAUAACAUUGUGAAAACAGUGCUAAUACCGCAUGACAGGGUUCCGGGCAUCCGGGACCCUUGAAAGGAGAAAUCCGGUCAGGGAUGGGCCCGCGUCCAAUUAGCUAGUUGCGGGGUAACGGCCCACCAAGGCGACGAUUGGUAGCCGAACUGAGAGGUUGAUCGGCCACAUUGGGACUGAGACACGGCCCAGACUCCUACGGGAGGCAGCAGUGGGGAAUAUUGGGCAAUGGGCGAAAGCCUGACCCAGCGACGCCGCGUGAAGGAUGAAGGUCUUCGGAUUGUAAACUUCUUUGAUCAGGGAAGAAAGAAAUGACGGUACCUGAAAAACAAGCCACGGCUAACUACGUG
rnacentral:rRNA from 1 species